rnacentral:rRNA from 1 species
AUUGGAAGGGGUGUAUUUAUUAGAUAAAAAACCAAUGCCCUUCGGGGCUUCUUGGUGAUUCAUGAUAACUAAACGGAUCGCAUGGCCUUGCGCCGGCGACGGUUCAUUCAAAUUUCUGCCCUAUCAACUUUCGAUGGUAAGGUAUUGGCUUACCAUGGUUUCAACGGGUAACGGGGAAUUAGGGUUCGAUUCCGGAGAGGGAGCCUGAGAAACGGCUACCACAUCCAAGGAAGGCAGCAGGCGCGCAAAUUACCCAAUCCCGACACGGGGAGGUAGUGACAAUAAAUACUGAUACAGGGCUCUUUUGGGUCUUGUAAUUGGAAUGAGUACAAUUUAAACCUCUUAACGAGGAACAAUUGGAGGGCAAGUCUGGUGCCAGCAGCCGCGGUAAUUCCAGCUCCAAUAGCGUAUAUUAAAGUUGUUGCAGUUAAAAAGCUCGUAGUUGAACCUUGGGCCUGGCUGGCAGGUCCGCCUCACCGCGUGUACUUGUCCGGCCGGGCCUUUCCUUCUGGAGAACCUCAUGCCCUUUACUGGGUGUGCUGGGGAACCAGGACUUUUAC